UGGGGUGACCAACCUUCUCAGUUGGCCUGGAUCUGAGAAGUUCCAGGGAGGCAGGACUUUCAGCACUAAAACCAAGGAAGUCCAGGCCAACUGGGACAAGCUGGUGACCCUAAAUGUAA
rnacentral:miRNA from 1 species